UACGUAGGGGGCAAGCGUUGUCCGGAAUCAUUGGGCGUAAAGAGCGUGUAGGCGGCCCGCUAAGUCCGCUGUGAAAGUCCAGGGCUCAACCCUGGGAUGCCGGUGGAUACUGUCGGGCUCGAGUCCGGAAGAGGAGUGUGGAAUUCCUGGUGUAGCGGUGAAAUGCGCAGAUAUCAGGAGGAACACCAAUGGCGAAGGCAGCACUCUGGGACGUGACUGACGCUGAGACGCGAAAGCGUGGGGAGCAAACAGG
rnacentral:rRNA from 1 species